rnacentral:rRNA from 1 species
ACGUACACUCCUACGGGAGGCAGCAGUGGGGAAUCUUGCGCAAUGGGCGAAAGCCUGACGCAGCCAUGCCGCGUGAAUGAUGAAGGUCUUAGGAUUGUAAAAUUCUUUCACCGGGGACGAUAAUGACGGUACCCGGAGAAGAAGCCCCGGCUAACUUCGUGCCAGCAGCCGCGGUAAUACGAAGGGGGCUAGCGUUGCUCGGAAUUACUGGGCGUAAAGGGAGCGUAGGCGGACAUUUAAGUCAGGGGUGAAAUCCCGGGGCUCAACCUCGGAAUUGCCUUUGAUACUGGGUGUCUUGAGUAUGAGAGAGGUGUGUGGAACUCCGAGUGUAGAGGUGAAAUUCGUAGAUAUUCGGAAGAACACCAGUGGCGAAGGCGACACACUGGCUCAUUACUGACGCUGAGGCUCGAAAGCGUGGGGAGCAAACAGGAUUAGAAACCCCAGUAGUCCCA